rnacentral:rRNA from 1 species
UAGUGAGUUUGAUCCUGGCUCAGAACGAACGCUGGCGGCAUGCCUAACACAUGCAAGUCGAACGAAGGCUUCGGCCUUAGUGGCGCACGGGUGCGUAACGCGUGGGAAUCUGCCCUUGGGUUCGGGAUAACAGUGAGAAAUUACUGCUAAUACCGGAUGAUGACUUCGGUCCAAAGAUUUAUCGCCCAGGGAUGAGCCCGCGUAGGAUUAGCUAGUUGG